GUUUGAUCCUGGCUCAGGAUGAACGCUGGCUGUGUGCCUAAUACAUGCAUGUCGAACGAAGUACUUGUACUUAGUGGCAAAUGGGUGAGUAACACGUACCUAACUUGCCUUUUAGAUUGGGACAACCACGGGAAACUGUGGCUAAUACCAAAUAUGUAUAAAAAACAUAUGUUUUUAUAUGAAAGGAAGCGAUUGCUUUGCUAAAAGAUAGGGGUGCGCUACAUUAGCUUGUUGGUAGGGUAAAAGCCUACCAAGGCUAUGAUGUAUAGUGGGAUCGAGAGGUUGAACCACCACACUGGGAUUGAGAUACGGCCCAGACUCCUACGGGAGGCAGCAGUAGGGAAUAUUCCACAAUGAGCGAAAGCUUGAUGGAGCGACACAGCGUGUAGGAUGAAUGCCUUAGGGUUGUAAACUACUGUUAUAAGAGAAGAAUAGCUAAAAAAGGAAAUGUUUUUAGUCUGACGGUAUCUUAUCAGAAAGCAGUUGCAAACUAUGUGCCAGCAGCAGCGGUAAUACAUAGACUGCAAGCGUUAUCCGGAAUUAUUGGGCGUAAAGCAUUCGUAGGUUGUUUAUUAAGUUUGGUGUUAAAAACAAAAGCUCAACUUUUGUUUGCAUUAAAUACUAAUAGACUAGAGUUAUAAAGAGGUUAAUGGAACUCCAUAUGAAGCGGUGGAAUGCGUAGAUAUGUGGAAGAACACCAAUGGCGAAGGCAAUUAACUGGAUAUACACUGACACUGAGGGAUGAAAGCGUGGGGAGCAAACAGGAUUAGAUACCCUGGUAGUCCACGCUGUAAACGAUGUUUGUUAAUCGGUGGUGAAAUCACUGAUACAGCUAACGCAAUAAACAAACCGCCUGAGUAGUAUGCUCGCAAGAGUGAAACUUAAAGGAAUUGACGGGGAGCCGCACAAGCGGUGGAGCAUGUGGUUUAAUUCGACGCUACGCGAAGCACCUUACCAACAUUUGACAUCUUUUGCAAAGGCAUAGAGAUAUGCUGGAGGAUAACAAAAAGACAGGUGGUGCAUGGCCGUCGUCAGCUCGUGCCGUGAGGUGUUGGGUUAAGUCCUAUAACGAGCGCAACCCUUUUCUUUAGUUACUAACAUUUAGUUGAGCACUCUAAAGAUACUGCCUAGGUAACUAGGAGGAAGGAGGGGAUGAGGUAGGUCAUCAUGCCUCUUACAUGUUGGGUUACACACGUGCUACAAUGGCAAAUACAAAGAGAAGCAAAAUCGUGAGGUGGAGCAAAUCUGUAAAAUUUGUCUCAGUUCGGAUUGGAGUCUGCAACUCGACUCCAUGAAGUAGGAAUCGCUAGUAAUCCUAGAUCAUCAAUGCUAGGGUGAAUACGUUCUCGGCUCUUGUACACACCGCCCGUCAAACCAUGGGAGUUGGUAAUACCCAAAGCUAGUUAGUUAACCAUUUAUUUGGAGGCAACUAUCUAAGGUAGGAUCAAUGACUGGGGUUAAGUCGUAACAAGGUAGCC
rnacentral:rRNA from 1 species